AUUGAACGCUGGCGGCAUGCCUUACACAUGCAAGUCGAACGGCGGCACGGGUGCUUGCCCCUGGUGGCGAGUGGCGAACGGGUGAGUAAUACAUCGGAACAUGUCCUGUAGUGGGGGAUAGCCCGGCGAAAGCCGGAUUAAUACUGCAUACGAUUUACGGAUGAAAGCGGGGGACCUUCGGGCCUCGCGCUAUAGGGUUGGCCGAUGGCUGAUUAGCUAGUUGGUGGGGUAAAGGCCUACCAAGGCGACGAUCAGUAGCUGGUCUGAGAGGACGACCAGCCACACUGGAACUGAGACACGGCCCAGACUCCUACGGGAGGCAGCAGUGGGGAAUUUUGGACAAUGGGCGAAAGCCUGAUCCAGCAAUGCCGCGUGUGUGAAGAAGGCCUUCGGGUUGUAAAGCACUUUUGUCCGGAAAGAAAACCUUGGCCCUAAUACGGUCGGGGGAUGACGGUACCGGAAGAAUAAGCACCGGCUAACUACGUG
rnacentral:rRNA from 1 species